UACGGAGGGUGCAAGCGUUGCUCGGAAUCAUUGGGCGUAAAGCGUACGCAGGCUGUUCGUUAAGUCGGGUGUGAAAGCCCAGGGCUCAACCCUGGAAUGGCGCCCGAAACUGGCGAGCUUGAGUGCGGGAGAGGGAAGCGGAAUUCCUGGUGUAGAGGUGAAAUUCGUAGAUAUCAGGAGGAACACCGGUGGCGAAAGCGGCUUCCUGGCCCGACACUGACGCUCAUGUACGAAAGCGUGGGGAGCAAACAGG
rnacentral:rRNA from 2 species